GACGAACGCUGGCGGCGUGCUUAACACAUGCAAGUCGAACGGAAAGGCCCUGCUUUUGUGGGGUGCUCGAGUGGCGAACGGGUGAGUAACACGUGAGUAACCUGCCCUUGACUUUGGGAUAACUUCGGGAACCUGGGGCUAAAACCGGAUGGGGGCUCCUGCUGCUUGGUGGGGGUUGAAAGGUUUCGGCGGUUGGGGAUGGACUCGCGGCUUAUCAGCUUGUUGGUGGGGUAGUGGCUUACCAAGGCUUUGACGGGUAGCCGGCCUGAGAGGGUGACCGGCCACAUUGGGACUGAGAUACGGCCCAGACUCCUACGGGAGGCAGCAGUGGGGAAUAUUGCACAAUGGGCGGAAGCCUGAUGCAGCAACGCCGCGUGCGGGAUGACGGCCUUCGGGUUGUAAACCGCUUUCGCCUGUGACGAAGCGUGAGUGACGGUAAUGGGUAAAGAAGCACCGGCUAACUACGUG
rnacentral:rRNA from 1 species